rnacentral:lncRNA from 1 species
GAGUUUAUUUAAAACAAACAAAAAGCAAAAAACCCAGAUAUAUUAAGCACAAGGAUUUAGAAAAAGAGGACCAGGGAAAGGAAGCAAACUCUUUCCAACACAUGUGGCUGGGCAUCUCAGAGUCAUGGUUAAGUCUCUCCCCACUCCACCAGUCCUCCCCUCUGUCUGAAUCUGUCUGUCUGUGUCUGUCAGUCUGUCUCUCUGUGUGUCUGUCUAUCUCUGUCUCUCUCUCACACACACAUAGACACACACAAAGACACACACAAAGACACACACACACACACACACAUACACACACACACACACACACACACACAGAGUUUCCAGUGGCUUUGGAACUUAGUCUAAUGUGAUCAUGGCUAGUUUCUAGUUUCUGCACUGGAUAGGUUCACAGCUAAGGUAAGGAAAGUCAUAGGUCACAGGCUUACAGGGGACAUUUUUAUUUAUUUUUUUUUAAAAAAAAGUCUUAUUUUUUUAAUUCCCAGAAACUGUUUAGGAGUAAGGCCACAUUCACUAUUAUUUUAACACAAAAUUUCUAUAAAUAAAAAGUGUGACUUCUAGCUGGCAAUCUUUACGACAAACAGUAAUUGUGCUGGAAUUCUGCAGGAGGUGUCAACCAGCUUCCUGUUCCUUUUCAUGGCCCCAGAGUAGGAAGAAUGUAGGCGCUGGAGGGUGAGGCUGCUGGCUAUCUUAAGGCUGUUGUCACAUCAACUCAUCAACUCAACUCAUACUGGGUAAACAUACUUAUCCACCUGCUCUUGCGGGAGGAGCUAUUGGCGCUGAUGGCUACAGAGGGAGGGAGGCCAUCCUCCUUUGGCGACUCGGCCACUGGUAAGGUGCCCACACCCUAGCAGAUGAUCCCACACCAUGAGCAACAGGCAGCACCAACUGGAUCCAGGGUAUUGAUGUUAAGAACAAAACAAGGUGGACUUGUUGGGAGGGAGGCAGGAUGAGGGCGCUAGGAGGAACUGGCACACAGAUCCUAUAAAUGUGUAUUUUCCAAAAAUACAGUUUACAAAAUAAAUAACGAUAUGGACCAGGAGGGGGACCCCGAGAACAGUGUGAUGCCAUGUAUGAAGCUGCUGUAACACAACGCCUUACUAGCCCAGUUUUUAAAGAUGUGAACACAGAAAUGUUAUGAGCAUGGGGGAGGGGUGGUGUAACUUACUGGGAAAAGGUGUUCUGAGAAUGUGGGAGGGGAUAAGAGAGCACAGGGGUGAGUAUGACCAGUGUCCAUCAAGUUCGGCGAGAAGGAAGGAUGGCCACUCUGUAAGGUUAGCAUUUUAAAAAUAAAAAUGAUUCCACACACCAUCAUCAUGACUAAUAUCUCAUUCUGUAGUACACACCCUAGAGAAAUGAAAACUUAUGUUCACACAUACACUAACCUGUGUACACAUGUUUAUAGUAAUUUUAUCUACAAUCCCCUAAAACAGACAACUCAGGUGUGCUUCAUUGAGUGCAGUGUAGCACAGCCACACACACCACCAUAAAGCAAAGACGCGUGGCUGUGGGAAAGGCACACUGCAGGCCGCACAUACCGAGCAUCAGCAAACCCAUAGGAUGCACACAGGCAGGCACAUGCUCACCAGAGGCUGUGGUAGGGUUGGGCUGGGUUGGGGUCUGACCACAAAUGGGACCCAAAACAGGAUCGUUUGGGCAGUAGAACUGCUGGAGUCCUGAUUUGUGAUAAAUAUGUGAAUCUGUGUACAGACAGAGGCAGGCUGACCUGAGUUGGAGGCUAGCCUAGAUUAUAUAUCAAGUUACAGGGCGGCCAGAGUUACGUAGGGAGACCCUGACCAAAACCAAUCUCAAAGAACUGGACUGGGGAUUGGCUUGGUGGUAGAGCAUCUGCCUAGCAUGCAUUGAGGCCUUAGGGUAGGAUGACCCAGAGAACUGAGUUCAAGUUAAUUUAACGUGCUAAUUUAGAAGGUUUUUUUUUUUUUAAAGAUUUAUUUUUCUUUUCUGUGUAUGAGUGUUUUCCCUAAACAUAUGUAUUUGUACUGCAUGUGUGCCUGGUACUCUAGGAGACGAGAAAAGGGCAACAGAUUCUUUGGUACUAGAACCAUAGACAGUUGUGGGCCACUAUGCGGUGCUGGGAAUCAAACCCCAGGUCCUCGGGAAGAACAGUAAGUUCUCAUAGUCACCGAGCCUCCACCUCCAAAUGUUUUCUUUUAAUGACAAAAAGGCUCAAAUAAAGUUCUUUGUUAAAAAAAAAAUCUGUGUUUCUACCAGGUGAAGGCUGGGGUGGGAAGGGAUGGGGCUGCUCUUGAUGAAGGAUGACAUUAGUCUAGAACAGCAGUUAGCUUCAUCCUCUCCUGCCUACCUCAUACCAGGCUCUCCAUUAGACUGUUACAGUGUUUGUCAGUGUAACUGGAGUCACCUGGGACAAGGGACCCUCCACGGAGAUGGGCUUCUUGAUGUGAGAGGGUCUAGUCCACCAUGGUUGUGGCUACCUGGGCAGGUGGCACUGAGCAAGUCACGGGGAGCAAGCCACAUUCCUUCAUGACAGAGUGUAACAUGUAAGUCAAAUAAACCCUUUCCUCCCCCAAGAUGCUUUGGGUGAGUUUAUACCACAAAAAAACACACUGUAGCACUAAGUCUAGGCUGGACAAGGUGGCACAUACCUGUGAACCCAGCAUUCCUAAAGUACAGGCAAAGAGACAGACCGGUGCUCAAGGCUACACAGCCUGGGCUACCUGGGAGCAGGGCUUAAACCAAACCAACCCAAACCAAGCCUUCUUGAAUCAGACCCUAACACCAAGGGCUUCUGAGCAGCCCUGAAUCUCAGGCUUGCUAGAGACAACUCACUUGUUCCUCACAGUCCUCACAGCUCCUCAACAGUCAGCCAGCCUGGGACCCUGAGUCUCAUGGUCUGCAAUUCUGCACGCGGUCUUGUGUCAGGACUCUCAGGUUGCAAAGUGAGAACUCUGGAGGCGGCUUCUCGGAUGAGGCCUAGCAGAGAUCAAGCCAUUUCUUCAUCUCUCUCACAUAGAGGCUCUGAGAACAUGUAUAAACUAAGGCCUGUGUACAGGUAGGAUUGCUGAUCUGGGCACCACUGGGAUCCAAGCACUGUGUGAAUCUGAUCUAGAAAACCAGAAUUGGGCCACUGUGGUAAAGGUAGAAGGGGCAGUCUCUGUAACCCUGGUUGAAGACCCCUAAUCUAGCAGGCUGGCACUUACAUUGAGAGACAUCCAAGAGCACCAGGAAGCUUCAGGAUUUGCCUCUGAAAGAACCAGGUGGGAUUUUGGCAGAUUUGUUUCUGGGUUGGUCAUCUCCGGGAGGGCUGCAGGAACCCCAGCUUGCCAUAUGCACUGGGCACUGGUUCCUAUGACCCAGCACCAUCUGCCAGCUCCACCCUACCACUCACAGAAAAGUUACCUUCACUAUAUUAUAAGAAAUGAAUGUACUCUCUGAAAGCACAGAUGACAAGAUAGUAAUUGUUGGGAAUUUCUGUUCUUGAUUUUGUUUUUGAGAUAGGGUCUCAUAUGUAGCCUAGGCUGGCCUCAAACUCACCUUGUAAUCUUUCUGCUUCAGCAAUCUGAGGUUACAGGCAUGCACCACCAAACCUGGCUGGACUGCGAGGUUAAAUGCUAUAGCAACACUUUUUCUGGCGUCAUGAAAAGCACCAUCUGCUGUGCUCCUGCAGCAACAAAAGUCGAAGUUCAAGUUCAGACCUUGGUGUACUGGAGUUACUGGUGGGCUGGCUUACAGUGGGAUCAUCAAACGGGUCUCCUUCUCGUAGAUGUCUGGGAUCCGUCCCAUUGGCGAGUCCAUCAUCUGCAUUGUAUUCUUGCCAAAGAGCUGCAACUCUGUGCGGCCCUUCUGCAUCUCCACCGAAUGGAUACGGUCGGCAACGGAAUCGAAGAAAUUGGAGAGGCGUGCGACGGGCGCAUCGACCACAGGCACCUGCACAUACUGGAUAUCCUCGUAGAAGGUGUUUGCUACCUCUACUGAGACGUUGAUGACUGUGGUGAUCUGAUUGCUGGACAGUAGGAGCUUGUUGUUGGCAGCCACACCAUUGCUGAUAAACAGGCUCUUGGUGAUCUGCGAGAGGCCUCUGAUCGAAGGCUGGGGGAUCUGAACUGGGAAGGCACUCCACGGUGAAGUCAUCAAAGUGGAAGUCGACAGUCCGUGCCGUAUUAAGCUUGCAUCUUUCUGCUAGGCUGUGC